rnacentral:rRNA from 1 species
AUUGAACGCUGGCGGCAGGCCUAACACAUGCAAGUCGAACGAGUGGCGGACGGGUGAGUAAUGUCUGGGAAACUGCCUGAUGGAGGGGGAUAACUACUGGAAACGGUAGCUAAUACCGCAUACCAUCGGAUGUGCCCAGAUGGGAUUAGCUAGUAGGUGGGGUAAAGGCUCACCUAGGCGACGAUCCCUAGCUGGUAUGAGAGGAUGACCAGCCACACUGAGAAUGAGAAACGGUACAGACUCCUACGUGAGGGGGCAGUGGGGAAUAUUGCACAACGGGCGCAAGCCUGAUGCAGCCAUGCGGCGUAUAUGAAGAAGGCCUUCGGGUUGUAAAGUACUUUCAGCGGGGAGGCGGUACCCGCAGAAGAAGCACCGGCUAACUCCGUGCCAGCCGCCGCGGUAAUAA